AAAACUAUUAAGCAGUAAUGAAGGUAGUUAAAAUUGAGGUUAUGACCAGGAUCGCUCAAAACUAUACAUGUGUGUUUAUAUAUGUAUGUAUUUGGAAGGAUGUGUAAAAUCGAUGAGAGGUAGGCUUGUUCCUGUUUCUCUUUUGCAUUGGUUUGCUUAAGGGUUUACUUCAAUAUUAGGAAUAUCCAGCUUCAUUCCCACGGAUAUGCAUGAGAAGUUAUUCAUUAUUAUGAGAACUAUUUAGAGCCGAUCAAGUGGUCGACUAACAAUUGCCAAGUUGAUAUUCGGAAAUGUAGCAUUUUUUUAACCAUACUUGUUAAAUUCUACAGAUAAUUUUUAACGGUAGCUGCUAAAUAGUAGUUUUGACUUUGAAUUACAUAUGCCAUACUAACUAGAAUUUAAGUUGGUGGGUUUGGACUAUGGCAUCAUAGUUGUCCAUCUUGUAGGUAAUAAACUAUUUUUACACAAUGAUACCUUUUCCAUUUUUUUUUGUUUAUAAUUCAUUCGCAUUUGAAUAUUUUUGUUUGCCUCUUGAAAGCCCAAGCGUAAAAAAUUUAUACUAUAGCCAGUUUCCUUAUAUUUCAAAUGUCUUGAUGACGCUUUGGUUUCAUUUCGGACAGGCUCCUCGGAAUUUAUUGAAAGAUUGCAAAGCUCUUCAGAACAUAUCACUGCAUGGUAAUCCUAUAUCAAUGGAUCAAUUGCAACAGAUGGAGGGGUUUCAAGAGUUUGAAGCAAGGAGGAAAAAGAAGUUUGACAAACAAAUUGAUUCAAAUGUGAUGAUCGGUUCAAAAGGUCUUGAUGAGGGUGUUGAUUUAUGAUGUGGUCAGGCUUGCUGAGACCACUAACAAUGAGGAGGAGCUUUUGGAUUUGGUUUGGAAUACUUGGUUUUUUACUCAUGCCUUUUCUUUCACAUAUGAAACAAGUGUGUUGAUAUUCCUGUCACAUUGUAUGUGAUUCUUUGUGUCAUUAUCCUGCGCCAGUUCCUUGUUUGCCUGCAAAUAUAAUAGCUUCAACAACAAAAGUAAUACUAUUCCUUCGAUAUAGUGUUGAA